rnacentral:lncRNA from 1 species
GUUUGUGCUCCCAGCACUGACUCAGCAGUUGUGAGGGGGAAGAUGGUGUUGGCUGGGGUUAAAAAUAUGGCAGAAGAAAGCACCAGAAGCAGCUCACUCAACCACCUUCUGAGGAAUAUGUAGCUGCUCCUGCUCCCGGUGGCCUUUCUCCCACCCCCACAGGGCUUGGGCAGAGAGGUGGGACAAGCUGAGGUCUGCGACAGGGAGUCAGCACUGUUUCCUGUUGAACCCUGGAUUGCUCUCCCAAUGUGUGGAGCAGACCGCUGAAAUCAGCAACUCCUCUUCCUCUGCAUCUUCUCUCCUCCAUCCCAUCUUUUAGCCUUUCUGGAGCAUCAAACUGGUACCAACACAGCAGGUUCUAAGAGAACAGAGAUAAGUACCAAAAGCUUCCUUUCAGGGGAGAUCAUCAGAGGCCAAGAGGCCAGGCUCCAUUCCCAUCCCUACAGGCCAUUUCUUCUGACCUAGAGUCCGGUGGGUUCGGGUACCUGCAGGGUGUUCUUGGUGUGAGAAGACUUUUUUCUAACCGCAGCUCUAUGCUGGGGAACAUGAGGAAAUAAGGAGUGUCCUGGGCAACCAGUCAGACAGGCCCAGAAGAGUUCAUAAGAGGGACCUUAAAGCAGGGGUAACAAAGAGACCAGCCCUAUAAAUGUCAUCCUGGGGGCCCACUACAUGGGGAGGCUGGAAAGCACCCAGCAGCGCAUAUCUGUGCUCAGAGCAUCUGCCAUCCUGAAUAUGAGCAGCAGAACAACCUGAAUGACAUCGUGUUACCACGGGCACCAUCUACCUGACACUCUGGUUCCCCAGCCCAGCUGUCUUUCUCCCAGCAUGGAGGCUCCAUCCUGUCUUGGGACCAUGAAGGAGGAAGCAGGAGCAGGGUUGCAGAUAAUGGUGGGGGCAAGAGGAUUUCUGGGGGAUUAGAGGAGCACCAGACACACAACCUGCACAUGUGCAGCCUUGUCCUGUGGAAGUGGAAGGUGUCCUGACUUGGGUUGAGCUACAGACAGUAACCAUAGUCAGGACUGAAGCCCAGCGAUGGAAAGAUCCAGAAGCUUGACUCCUCCACCCAGCAGCCUCCCAUCUCACACACACCCCACAUUGAAGGAGCCCACCUGUCCCUAUCUUCUCUGAGGGCUGAGCCUUAGGGCAAAAGGAGUGGGGAGGCCUGAUUUCAUGUCCCUUCCUCCCAUCACCCACAGGGGGACACUAGAGGCCCCCUGGUGUGUCAUCAUGAGGCCCAGGGCAUCGUAUCCUAUGUAAAUAAUAUGGGAACUUCUUCAUUAGUCUUCACCAGAGUUUCCAGCUUCUUUUCCUGGAUAAGAAGAACAAUGAGAUGCCUCAAACAGUGGGGUCAGACUGAGACCCACACCCACCUGUGACCCACUCUUCUUCUCUGGGGCAGAGGCCAGCUCCAGGGGGGUUGCCAGAGCCUUAAUAAAUGGCCACGUCUAGAGUGGAAAUAUCUG